rnacentral:rRNA from 1 species
UUGACAAUUCGAACGCACAUUGCGGCCCUAGG